GACGUAGGGCGCGAGCGUUGUCCGGAUUUAUUGGGCGUAAAGAGCUCGUAGGCGGCUCGUUGCGUCGGCUGUGAAAACCCGCAGCUCAACUGUGGGCUUGCAGCUGAUACGGGCGGGCUGGAGUUCGGUAGGGGAGACUGGAAUUCCUGGUGUAGCGGUGAAAUGCGCAGAUAUCAGGAGGAACACCGGUGGCGAAGGCGGGUCUCUGGGCCGAUACUGACGCUGAGGAGUGAAAGCGUGGGGAGCGAACAGG
rnacentral:rRNA from 1 species